rnacentral:lncRNA from 11 species
GAAGAGAACCAGGACAUGGUACUAUGACCUCCAAGAGAAGGAAAGUUCAAGAGGGACCCGAGGAAGACUGCCAUUACAGUCCACCAGCACCUAUGGCAGAGGGGAGAUUUACUGCUCUACCUAAGUGACUUGAGAUAGCCCUAAA